AAAGCAAAAAAACUUAAAGAUGAACAGUGACGACAAAAAAGAAAGAAAAGAUGAAACAGUGAAAGCCAAGUACAGUCAUUUUGAUUAAACCGUAUUCAUUAACCAACUUUUCACUAACUAUGGUAAACCAACCCCUGACCCGAACCGAACCGUUCUUGUUUUUAACCAAUGAUUCAUUCAAUCAGAGUCUUUAUCCGUAGAAGUCAAUACCUCCGUCUCAGCCGCACCCAAAUCCGGAGCUAUUCCGGUGCCGUUGUACUGCUGAAUCACCAAAACCGAUGCUUUUGUCGAAGAUUCCGGCGAAAUCAACAAGCUUCCUACAGGUCCAAGCUCCGGACAUUCACUAUUCUCCCUAAUCGCCAAUGCAAUUUCUCCACCUGGCAUUCUACCAACCAAAAACAAAUUGCUCCGCCGCACUUCCUCAAUCGCCGAUCUAACAUCCACGGCGGCGUUUUCAAUCUGUUUCUCCACGAACUUAACCGAUUCGUCCACCGAAGAUAUCUUCCUUAUCUCAGACAUAAUCUCCUCAUCCGAUUUCAGAUUCUUCACACUCUGAUUCUCGUUGUUAUUGUUACUCACUUCAACAUUAACAAUCUCUCCGACUCUCUCCGGCGAUACCACAAAUCGGAAAACAGUCAAAACAAUUCCGGGAUGCUCCGCCAUACGUAAUCCAUAAGCCAACGCUUCACGAUCAUCAGGACCACCGAAGAACAGAACAACAACAGAGUAAGAAACAUCUUGAGCUGAGACUUGACUUGAACCUCCGAGUCCACGGUCAACGAAUAUACCAACCGAACAAGGAGCUUGAAGCAAAACUCUCCGGUUAACCCAACGCUGUUGUGCAGAUAUCUUCAUGAAUAUCAGACAUUGAAGAGAUUGCUGUCAUUGGUCGGACAUUGACUCUGCUUAGCUGUUGAAAAGCUUGGAAAGCAACUACUACUUGAUCAGCGUCUGCGUUUACUCCUCUUCUGUUCCAAAACGGCAUUCCGUUUUUCCGAACUUUAUGAACCAUUAGAAUAGCUGAUGAUCUCUCUGAUAGUUCCCGUAAGUGGAGAGCGUAAACGCAGAGCCCUUCGCCUUUUUCGAUACCUCUUGAUGCUUCUAGGAGGUUUAUCAUUGAAGGAAUGCUUCCUGCUCCGUGGAAACAUGUGAGGAUUCGAAGCUGUGUGUUUGUGUUCUCUCGUUCUACUGCCCUGUGUUUGUAUUCUCCUUCUUUCUUCGCUCUUCUCGCUGGUUUGUAGACUGCCAUUACGACUGGUGUGGUGAUGAAGGUUGUGAAGAGAGCCAUUAGAACCAUUAUGGCAAAUGUCUGAUCAUUAAGAACCUGAGGACACAACAAAAGAAAGAUUUAAGUUAUAAACUUUCAUGACGCAAAUUGUUAAGGAUUUGAAAAAGUUAUACCUUUCGAUCUUUUCCGAUGUUGAGGACGAUGAGUUCGACCAAUCCUUUAGUGUUCAUGAGGAAUCCUAAUGUUAUUGCUUCUCGCAUAGGUAUCUUGAAGGCGAGGGAAACACCGAGAGUGCCCAAUAUCUUACCGAAACAAGCUGUGGCGGUGACUAAAACCAGAAGACCCCAAGACUGAGCUCCUUGGAUCGUUGCCACAUUAGUUUUCAGACCACUUGCCACAAAGUAAAGCGGCAGGAAGAGACCGGAUACAAGAUCUUCCACCUUCUCAACUAGUGCACCAGCAAAAGGUCCUUCCUUUGGAAUCAAAACACCCACCACAAAGGCACCAAACAUGGAGUGGAUUCCAAUGGCAUCAGUUAUGAAUCCACAAACAAGAACUACAGCCAAAGUGGCACAGAUGUAGGUUUCCUCGAUAGGUUCUCCCUCGUGGCACCUCCGGGAAAUCCAUCUAAAGAUUGGUGGAAUGAUGAAAGACGCACCGAUAACAAAAGCACACCCGGAAAGGAAAACCCAGAGAGAGACAAGGGGAGAGGUAUUGGAUCCCGAGAGAGCAAUGGCUAGAGCAAGUAGAAUCCAAGCUGCCACAUCGUUAACGGCAGCUGCCGACAUAGCAAGUCGUCCUAUCUCAGUAGUUAGAAGCUUUAGCUCCGCU
rnacentral:lncRNA from 1 species